UCUCCGUUGGUGAACCAGCGGAGGGAUCAUUACCGAGUUUACAACUCCCAAACCCCUGUGAACAUACCAUUUGUUGCCUCGGCGGUGCCUGCUUCGGCAGCCCGCCAGAGGACCCAAACCCUUGAUUUUAUACAGUAUCUUCUGAGCAAAUGAUUAAAUAAAUCAAAACUUUCAACAACGGAUCUCUUGGUUCUG
rnacentral:misc_RNA from 1 species